GAUGAACGCUGGCGGCGUGCCUAAUACAUGCAAGUCGAGCGAACAGACGAGGAGCUUGCUCCUCUGACGUUAGCGGCGGACGGGUGAGUAACACGUGGAUAACCUACCUAUAAGACUGGGAUAACUUCGGGAAACCGGAGCUAAUACCGGAUAAUAUAUUGAACCGCAUGGUUCAAUAGUGAAAGACGGUUUUGCUGUCACUUAUAGAUGGAUCCGCGCCGCAUUAGCUAGUUGGUAAGGUAACGGCUUACCAAGGCAACGAUGCGUGGCCGACCUGAGAGGGUGAUCGGCCACACUGGAACUGAGACACGGUCCAGACUCCUACGGGAGGCAGCAGUAGGGAAUCUUCCGCAAAGGGCGAAAGCCUGACGGAGCAACGCCGCGUGAGUGAUGAAGGUCUUCGGAUCGUAAAACUCUGUUAUUAGGGAAGAACAAAUGUGUAAGUAACUAUGCACGUCUUGACGGUACCUAAUCAGAAAGCCACGGCUAACUACGUG
rnacentral:rRNA from 1 species